GACGGAGGAUGCAAGCGUUAUCCGGAAUUAUUGGGCGUAAAGCGUCCGCAGGUGGCCAUACAAGUCUGCUGUCAAAGUGCAGAGCUUAACUCUGUAAAGGCGGUGGAAACUGUAGGUCUUGAGUAUGGUAGGGGUAGAGGGAAUUCCCGGUGUAGCGGUGAAAUGCGUAGAUAUCGGGAAGAACACCAGUGGCGAAAGCGCUCUACUGGGCCGUAACUGACACUGAGGGACGAAAGCUAGGGGAGCGAAAGGG
rnacentral:rRNA from 1 species